rnacentral:lncRNA from 1 species
AUGCUCAAUUUUUUCCCUUCUUUUGUUGUAGAAAAAUAUCCGGUAAUCUACACUCAGACAAAAGGAUGGAAAAUUCUUCAUCUCGGAAACCAGCAUGGUGGUACCUACAGAAGCACAUUAGAUAUGACAAGGAUGCACAACAUGAAGAGACAACUCAUUUUCAGAGACUGCAGCAUGAGGAGCUCCGUUGAGGUUUCUUGGAGCAGCCCUCGUUCUGCAACUGGUGAAGCAAGACAGGGGAAGGGAGGGAGCAGAUUUCCACCUGAUUUUCUCCACGUGCUUGAAGACGAGGAGUUUCUGCUAACUGCUGCCAGGCCAGGAGCUGGGACUGCCCAAGCCACUGACACCCAGUGGUCCCAGACACGCAAACCAGCACCAGAACCCGAGCAAGUCUCCAGCUUCCUAGAGAAACAGCUUGCUCUUGUUACGUGGACACAGGGUGCCAAUACCACGGAGUCCCAAUCUAAACCAGGUCCCCUAGGCAUGGCAGGAAUAAGAAUCAUCAUGUCUUACAAUAACUAUCAGUGA